rnacentral:RNase_P_RNA from 1 species
GCGGAUGGCUGGGCGGUUGCGCGACAUUUUGUGUCGUGAGGAAAGUCCGGACUCCACCAGGACAACGGUGCCGGGUAACGCCCGGCCAGGGUAACCUGAGGGAAAGCGCCACAGAGAUCAGACCGCCUCUCACGAGGUAAGGGUGAAACGGUGGGGUAAGAGCCCACCGCGUUUCCGGCAACGGCAACGGCAACGGCAAGCCCCACCGGGAGCAAUGCCAAAUAGGGAUCGUGAUCGGCUGUGCCGAAAGCUCGUCCUGGGCCAAGUGAUCCGGGUUGGCAGCAUGACCGGCAUGGUAACAUGUCGGCAAGAUGAAUGACCGCUGAAGGGCAGUUCACCUGCCUGGGACAGAAUCCGGCUUACGUGCCAUCCGCACAA